UGGGGAAUUUUGGACAAUGGGCGAAAGCCUGAUCCAGCAAUGCCGCGUGUGUGAAGAAGGCCUUCGGGUUGUAAAGCACUUUUGUCCGGAAAGAAAUCCUUGGCUCUAAUACAGUCGGGGGAUGACGGUACCGGAAGAAUAAGCACCGGCUAACUACGUGCCAGCAGCCGCGGUAAUACGUAGGGUGCAAGCGUUAAUCGGAAUUACUGGGCGUAAAGCGUGCGCAGGCGGUUUGCUAAGACCGAUGUGAAAUCCCCGGGCUCAACCUGGGAACUGCAUUGGUGACUGGCAGGCUAGAGUAUGGCAGAGGGGGGUAGAAUUCCACGUGUAGCAGUGAAAUGCGUAGAGAUGUGGAGGAAUACCGAUGGCGAAGGCAGCCCCCUGGGGCCAAUACUGACGCUCAUGCACGAAAGCGUGGGGGAGCAAACAGGAUUAGAUACCCUGGUAGUCUACGCCCUAAACGAUGUCACUAGUUGUUGGGGGAUUCAUUUUCCUUAGGUAACGUAGCUAACGCGUGAAGUUGACCGCCUGGGGAGUACGGUCGCAAGAUUAAAACUUAAAUGAAUUGACGGGGUCAUAGCUGUUUCCU
rnacentral:rRNA from 1 species